ensembl:snoRNA
GGCCUCUGGGUGCUUACCACAGGCUGCGUUCUUACACCUGACUGUAUAGAAAGAGGAAGCAGAGUAACCUACCCUAUAUACACCUCAGCCCAGGCCCUGUGCCUGGUCUGUGUUGUAAAUGGGGAGACAUGG